rnacentral:lncRNA from 1 species
ACCGAUGCGUCCCGCGCUCUAGGCGAAGACCGCGGCCCCGUCCCCGCGCCUCCACCGCCUUCUUCCAGGAGGAGGGGCCGUGCGGCGCCUGCCCGGGGGCCCUCAGGCCGCAGGCGGGCGCGAGCUUCAGGGAACUUAGGGGGCUCCCGCCUCCCCGGCCACGCGAGCGGGAACAGUCUCCUCCACUCGGAGCGAUUAUAGAUCCAGACUCCUGUGCCUGACCACUGCCCAUGGCCAACUCUCUGCUGAUGACUGGACUUGACUACACAAGUUGUUGGCCAUCUUAAAACCACUCAAAGUUGACGGUCUCCUCUCCUGCCUCCUGCGGCUUCCAUUACCAUGGCAGAGACUGUGGUGUCUGAGGUGGUGUAGCGUACUGAAGCAAGGCUGUCUUGAAGAAGAGGAGACAACUCACAAUUCUACCACCUUUGUUGACCUCUUCUUCCCCCCAACUUAUUGCUGUAGAGGCUACCUGAGCUCAUUGUCCCUGGAGAUGGACCAAAUAGAAGAAUAAGCAGUGCCUGUGUGCUGAAGGUAAAGAAAUUUCAUGUGGUGGAUUCCUACAAAAGAAAAAGCUGCAAAAGAGUCAACCAGGAAAGGUGCUAGACACACAUCCAAUGGCUGCUGAGUGAUGAAUGAGAAAGAAACCUUCGGUGUAGUAAGCCAUUGAAAUUUGGGGGAAAUUUGUAAUAGCUGUUGCUGUAAACCUCCGCACUGCAAAACACACACAUCCUAGAUAAUUAAAAGACAACUUCUACCAGAUGUUGAAGGGCACAUCAUUCCAAUCUUAUGUAAAUUAUUCCAGAGAAUAGACAAAGAGGAACUAUUCCUCCAACAGAUUUUAGGAAGCCAAAAUAACCUUAAUACCAA